GGCAUUGCCUGGUGCACUGGAAAAGUUAGGCAACUGAGAGUACUACAAGUUAUCCAGCUGGUGACACAGAAACUUUUCCCAAGCAUUAGGGGCCACGUUUGGAGAUUUUUUUUUAUUUUCAACAUGUACCUUCUCAUUUUCAAGAAAGCAGCCUUUGAAGAAGAAAAAUGGAGGAGAUAAUCACUGGUGAUUCCAGAGAGCUCAUUCAGAAGUCUUUUUGCACUGCCUUCUGCCAGCCUCCAAGACGGUACACAUGAGUGACAGCCUCUAUCUAGUGUUUGAGUAUAUGAACCUUUAAUCCAUCAAGGCACUCGUAAAACUGAGAGAGUACCUCCACCAUGUGCUUACACCUUCCUGCACAAACCCAUCAUCUUGGACCACAGAAAUCCCACCACAUUUGAAGCCAGCUGAAUACAUUUUUCUAAUCUCAUCCAGAUUUUAUGGCUAUAAUUUGGCUGUGGACACAAUUUUAAAUUACCUUUUGCUUCAGUGAAAGAAGGCAAACCAUAUCUUAGGAUUGUCUUUUAUUUUUUUUUAAAUCUCUCACACAAUAAUCAUAUAUAUGUUUAUAUAUUGUUAUACUAAUAAUAUACAUAUUGUUAAUGUG